CUCAGUGGGCCAGCGAAUUUCUCAACCUUCGAGAAUACAAGGCGAACACUUCAUGUAGUCACGAUAUUUUAGUUCAACCAAUAUGGAAGCUUCAAUUUAGCAAAAAAGUCGUGAAUUAUUUUACUUCUACUCGCUUUUGUGGAAAAGAAAUUGCACUAUGGUGCACGUAGAAGCUAUUCGUCAAUAUUUUACCAGUUUAUAUUAUAUUUUAAAUGUCCUGGCAUUUGUGUCCUAUGUUGUUUUAAAAAUAAAACUGUAGAUCCAAUAUGCGAGUGGUUUUUCAGAGAAGGCGAGCAAUGUGAACGGCUAAGUUUAUUUGGUACGUUUUGUUUUAAUGUGGUGUUUUUAUAAUGAUUUUAAAGAGUUUACAUUGUAGUUCAUUGCUUUUGUUGUAGGCUAUUUUAGAAUUUUUAUACAGUAGAUCUAGAGUGGUACUCAAUUAUUAUAAAAGUAUGUACCAGUCAAUUCCAGCAGUGCCCUUUAAUGCUUUAAUACCCCCCCCCCCGGGCCUUCGCUGCUUUUCAUAAACCCGGGGGUGGGGCAAUUGCCAAAUUUUUUUAGCCUGGUGGUGGGGACUUUGACAUUUUCCAUCAUGGUUUAUUGGUGGACUAUAACAUAUGGCAGAUUUCGCUGGGAAUUUUACAAUAUUGAUGUCAAUAACUGCACAUAUUUUUCUCUUUACUACAGAAUUGUUUUCCCUGUCCAAUAACACUUGUAGUUUUGUUUUAUCAUAGGCAGCCUG